AAGUACAGAUAGGAGACGACGAAUUUAUUGACAUUUCCAAUUUCUUCAAUUAGUGAUACGGCAUCUGUACACACUCCACGAGGAGAAAUUGUGAAGAAGAGAAGAAACAGAGAGAAGAAGAGGGAAGAAACAAUGGGGUGAGUUUUCAAUCCCUGGCAUAUGGCGACAAUAGAUUAUAAUUAUGAAGAAUAAAGUGUAAAGUCUAGUCGAUGAUUUUACUCAUUUAGCUCUAGGUCACCCCUCCUCCGACGUAUGAACUGUUUUUAUUUUCAUUUUCAAUAUGUUACAUUUAUUGGUUAAAUUGUUUAGUGUUUUGAAAUGAUUCAAAUGAGUAAUUCUUGGUA